rnacentral:lncRNA from 1 species
AAGAGCGGGUGCCAUUUUGAUUCUGGGUUAUGAGGGGAGGCAGGCAACUGCUGCUUGGGAAUGGUGAUUUUAAAUCAAAGUUAAUUGGGAUUUCAAUUAAUUUAAAUAGACAUGAAAGUCAUACUUUCCCAGAACACACGUGGCAGCUGACGGCAAUUCCAUCCUUCCAGUUUGCUCAGGUUGAAAACCCUGGCGUCAUCCCAGCUUCUCUCUUCCUUUUACAUCCCACAUCCUAUCCAUCAGUGAGUCGCCACCUCUAGCUUUGAACUCCCAGGGUUCUGGCCCAUCUUCUCUCUUCCACCCUGAUCCAAGCCCCAUGAUCUCAUUCCUGGAAUCUGCUGAAGCUGCUUCUAGCAUCUUGCUUCUCUCAUGCUUAUCUCUUUCCAGUCUAUUCUCAUCGAGGAGCCAGAAUGAGCCUUUGAAAAUGCAAAUCAUAGCCCACUAUGCCUCUGCACAGAACCCCAACCAAACAGGGCAGACAGCGGGCAGGCCAGAGGAUGUGUGGCAGGGGCAGGGAGGUUGGGUGGGGAAUGUGGUCCAUCUUCUGUGGCCAUUUCCCCAUCCUGCUGUCUUCUGUGCUAUUGAGGAGUUAUGAAAGGACACAGGAUGGGGGUGAGGGUGUCUAGAAUGGGCCAUCCCUAAUGAAUACACCCUAAACCAAUGGAGAGCUCUUC